rnacentral:lncRNA from 1 species
GAUAUUUAUUGUGUUGUGAAUUAACAAAUUAAUAAAGAAAGUAUUUUUUAGUAAAUGUUUUUUUGUUGUUGUUAAUUUUGCACAUAGCUUCAGCUUAUAUAUAUAUAUAUAUAUAUAUAUUUUUUUUUAAUCUUAAUGUUGCUUCUUGUGAUAGAAGUAUAUGUGACGGAAACUGGACUCAGAGCGAUUAAUAAGGAAAUGUUGGUACCUGCCUUCCUCUGAUGUAUAAACUGAAAAGCCAUUAUUCCAGGCUGGGUGACCUUCUAAACUAUUUUGAAUUUGAAUUCUAAACAACUCUAGAUGAAAUAAGUAUGAUUUCAAAUACUCUCUGAUGUUAAUUGCCAUUAAUGAGGUCAAACAGGUAUGUUCACAGUCCGUGUGUGUUGACAUGCUGCUGAGGACUCAGCCAGACAUAACUCGGAAACUUACUGAAAUACAGUGUACAGUAUUAUGUAGGACUAAACUACAUUGUAUUUAGCUAUUUGUGUUGUAGACUAGAAAAUAUAGAGGAAAAAAUACAGCAAAGCCAUCUAGUAGCUGUGAGUACAGUUGAUAGAUGAAAAUAUUUUAAAACUAAUUAACAAAUGCUAGCAACGUGUUUAAAAAAUCUGAGGAAUUUCUACCAGGAAAGAAGGGAACUACGUUGAUUGUGUUCAUCUCAAUGUUAUUUCUUUACAUUCACUUUUGAUGAGAAGUUCCAGCUAAGUUGGGUGAUGCUGAGCUUCUGAACAGGCUGUUCUAACUUUACCUCAGUAUCUUUCCUGGGGUUGAUACUGGAGAAGAAAUAUUGAAUUAAUUGCAUUUAAAGUUAUUUUUACUUUGUUUCCUGGAUUUUUUCACUGCAGGUUCUAAUUAGGAUAGCUAGAAAACUGGCUAAAAAGGGAAUGAGAGAACAUGAAGACCAAAAGGACUGUUGUGGGAUAUUUUCCUAUCCUUCUUACCCUUACCAUAAAACAAGAUCUGUUAACCAAGCUUGGAAGGAGCAUGCAGUUCAAAGGUCAAAUGUAUGAAAGCAAAGCCUGCUUGAUAUACCAAGAGCUCUUUGUAAAUUUGAUUCUAACUGAGAAGCUAUAGAGCUGUGAAGGGGUGAAGGGCAGAGGAGAUAGUGCAGCACCCGCUGAAACGCUUCCAUUUUGUUUUCUGAGCUACUGCCACAAGGAAAGACUGCCUUCUGUGCUGAUGACAGAUCUGCCCUUCUGUUAUCAGACACUGCUCUUUUGCUAUCUCAGUUUCAUAACAAUUACCUCUGCCUGAGAGCUAUGGAUCAGCCACAUUGGGCAAAGCAGUCCUCUGAGAAAGAGAAUGAUGGAUGACAGAGUGAUUCCCUUCAACAUGACUGGGGCACUGAGGCUCCUGCUCAGCUCUGGAUAUGCUAGAGAACCCCCAUUGCUCCUUUUCACUGUAACUCCAGCUGCUGCACUGGAGCUAACAAAACUAUUCAAAGAAAAGCAUUCCAAGGAACCAUCUGAGAAGGUUCUUCAGCAUUGCUGAUGGGCCCUUUAUCCAAGUAGAGGGCACUGGAUCCUGUGAACAGGAAUUGGUACAGUGCAGCUCAAAGGGUCUAACAGCUUUAGCAGAUGGACUGAUUUUUUUUCCCUCUGGAUACUGGCGAUGUGGAAGAGAAGUCUGGCUUCGUCUGCUGUACGCCCACUGACAGACAUCCAAUGGUUAAUGGGAUAUAUGGACAGGAGACUUGAGCUUACUCCCUUGGAACCAUGACAGUUUGAGGUGUUGCCUGGCUCAGCCCUUGGAUGGGAAAGAAUAACUUGAACAUCUCUCCGGUCAUUUCCUGAUAUUUUCAGUUAGAGAACAGAUGUGAUUCACUCCAGAAGGGACUGCUGAGUGCUCCCAUGUGUCUGAUCUACUAAGCAAGCAACCUUGGGAAGAUACAGUGUGGCUGUGUGCAUUGAUGAUCAGAAGAUUUGCCAUAGGAAUCCAGAAACACUGCCUUCCAGAGAACCGACUGUUGGCAUGGAAAACAAACACCAGAGAAACCCUGGAAUUCCGAGAUGUAGUUGCCUUUCUGAAUGCAGGCAAGUUGCAAUUAAAAAACAGUUAUUUGGGGAGAGCAGUGCAUUCAAAAUACAGUUCUUUGGAGAGGGCUGGCAGGCACAUCACAAGUGAAAUAAAUUAGUAAUGUGAGGAGAUAGUUAUGCUUGAGGAUUAACGAAUUUUGGACAGCUGUAGGAGCCAACCCACUGGGCUCUGUGCAUUGCCUCGCUGUAACUAUUUAUGCUGCUCCUCUGGAUACCGGGGCAUCACAGAGCCAGGCAUCUGAAGCACAGCUUUUCCCUACAAAUGCAACCAAACCAGCUGCUGCAUUUUGCAGAGAUCCUGACACUAUAGUGCUGAGCUGCUCUCCAUUCCACUUGGUGAAAUCCGCUCACCUCAGUCUGCGUGUUAGGGGUAUGGCCAGUCAGUCAGGCUUUGCUAGUAUGGGGCCGAGCAAGGAGAAAUAUCCUUAGUAGAGAUAUUUAUUGCAAAGCUGCUGAAAGGCUCACAGUAGACAGCCUACACAACGAAACCAUCUCCUUCAAUUAGUCCAUGGUCAUCAAUGAGGUAAAUGUCUCUGCCUUCUGACCCAGACAGGGUGGAGUUUUAAUAACAGACAUAAAUCUGUUGUGCUUCUCUCCUCAUGACCUAACGUAUGCUGUCAGGGCAAUGCAUGCCUCAGAGAAGGAGUAGAAUUUAUGUGUACAAUAAAACAAUAGAGCUUCAGUGCUAUCAGCUGUUUGAUGAACUUUAAUAUGCAUUUGCUAUAAAAAAGGCAGCGAGUACCAGAAUGCUAUACCCAAAUAAGAACCCUUGAUCCAUUUGCAUGACAGAUCUUCAAUUUACUCACAUUCAUGUGAGAGACACACAUAAAAGUUAUAUCCACGCUAAAAUUCACUUAGAAGCAGCCUGAAAUACCCCCCAGUUGCAAGUGAUACUGCAGUACUUAGCUAAUACUCAUGUUUCCGUGGCUUUGCCUUCACGAUUCUUCCAGUGGUUCCUUUAUGUUUUCUGGUAUUUUGCCAAACACCUGUGAAUCGGAGCACAACAAAUAUUCUUGCCAUUUAAUUUAGGCUUGCACAGAAAGGCUAUAGUAGGCCGGCUGCAGACCUAAUCCCAAACCUCUAAAGAGGUUUAAGGCACUCUGGUUUCACCUAAUCCCGAAACCUAAACCAGAAUCAUUGAAAACCUCCACGACACCAUAGGAAUGGGCAAAUAAAGGGUCUCCACUAUGAAAUUAUUAAAGGGACACGGUGUAUCUUUUGGAUUUGAGACCUAAGGCUUUACCUAAGGAGCCCGGAGUCCACAAUGCAGUGUUU